GUCCACGCCCUAAACGAUGGGUACUAAGUGUCGGCGGGUUACCGCCGGUGCCGCACCUAACGGAGUAAGUACCCCGCCUGGGGAGUACGGCCGCAAGGUUGAAACUCAAAGGAAUUGACGGGGGCCCGGCCACAAGCGGUGGUGCAUGUGGUUUAAUUUCGACGCAACGCGAAAACCUUAACCCAGGCUUGACAUGCUAGUGGUAAGAACCGGAAACGGGGAUGACCCUGAAAGGGGAGCUAGCACAGGUGCUGCAUGGCUGUCGU
rnacentral:rRNA from 1 species